AGUAAUGGUCGCAGAGCCGCGACCAGGAUAAUAUAAAAAAAGCUCAAACAGA
rnacentral:ncRNA from 1 species